rnacentral:tRNA from 1 species
GGAACUAUAGGUUAAGGAUAGUAAACCAUUGGCCUUCAAAGCCGAAAAUGAAUAGUCUAGUUUCG